rnacentral:lncRNA from 1 species
UUACCCCCUCACCUCCCCCUCCCCCAAAUUUAGGCUCUCUCAUCGUGGCAGCCGGCUGCUUCAUCCCCCUCCGCUCGGUGCGCCGGCUGACCCUUCACCGCGGCGGUUCCACCGUCACCAUUUGCACUCACGGCCCCAUGGGUUUGGGUCGGGGCCGUUCCCUCACCGUCCCCCUCCGCCACCUGUCGUGCCGUUCUCACCGCUCCGACGUCCGUGCCUCCAUCCCCCUCAAGCUUACGUCACUUCCGGCGUGGCGCCAACCAAGAUGGCGACGCGCAUCCGGGUUGCAGCGAUCCCGGAGGAGAACCGUGCGGUUCGGGCGCAGCUCCUGCCGUGCUCCGUUCGCUAUAACGGCCCUGCGCCCGUCCGCGCGUUCCUCAGGGCCCGGCCCGGCCCCGGCGGCGGUGAGGAUUGAGGGCGGGGGGGAGGGGGUCGCUAUGGGGCCUUUGGGGGUCUGUGGGGCGCCCCUGUGGGGGUAUGGAGGG